UACGAGGGGUGCAAGCGUUGCUCGGAAUUAUUGGGCGUAAAGGGUAGGUAGGUGGUCUCAUUUGUCUGGGGUGAAAGCCUUGAGCUUAACUCAAGAAGUGCCCCAGAAACGGUGAGACUGGAGUCCUGGAGAGGGUCGUGGAAUUCCCGGUGUAGCGGUGAAAUGCGUAGAUAUCUGGAGGAACACCGGUGGCGAAGGCGGCAUCCUGGACCAACACUGACGCUGAGGAGCGAAAGCCAGGGGAGCAAACGGG
rnacentral:rRNA from 1 species